rnacentral:misc_RNA from 1 species
GGGAAAUUACACUUUUUGCACCUAUUUCUAUUAAAAAAUAGAACAUAACCAUAGACUUAUUUCAAGUUGUUGCUAGUAGAUUAUUAUUUUAUUUCAUGAAAGGGCAUUUUGAAUCCUCCAAUAAUGCCAUCUCACUUGUGGAUUCACCAUUUUUUCCUCCUUUCAUAAGUGGCCCAAGCAAUUCUCCUCUAUCAAAAAAGAACUCUGCCUUAACAAUCUUGUUACUCUCUUUCUCCAAUUCAAAAAUGCCAAUUCCAAAGAGCUCAACAAGUUGUCCAGUUGCAACAUAUCCUUUAAAUGGACCAUCCAUGUAACCCCAAUGCCUAAACUUGUACACAAUUUCUGGUGGUCCUGAAUAAACAUGAAGGACUUCGAUCGCGAAUCCACGUACAAAUAUUGAUCUAAAUACAUUUUGUGAUGAUUCAAAUGUUUCAUCCUCAGGAUUAUAGACUCUUAGAUUUUCUGGCAAUGAAGUUUGUAGGAAUGUGUUGUAACCACCACCAAGCUUUACAGCUUCUUCCGGUGUUAACCCUUUCCUUCCAUUGACACUCUUCUUGAACUUUGUUGGAUCAACAGAUUUCAUCUCAUUAGGAUCUAUUUUGUGAACUAAUUCCAUUUCCCAAGUCUUCAAUAGCCUUUGUACUUUAUCUUCAACUGAUCCUUCAGCCCAUACAUGAGUUCUUUCUUGUUCAAAGAGCUUAUCAACAACAUCAUAACUAGGAGGUCCAUUUCUCCAUUUUGUGUUUUUGAGCUCUUCAUCACUCAAGUAGUCUCUGUAUUUGUUUCCCCCUCCUACUAUUGAACUUGCC